rnacentral:lncRNA from 1 species
GGUGGAUUUGAUAGGCCCUUGCAAGGGUGGCAUGCAUCUUCAAGUGGAAGGAACGUUGGUGGCGCCAGCAAAAGCUAGCCAACACAGCAAGAAUAGCUGGGUUACAUUGAGAUACCUGGACCGAUUAACGGUAUCCGGUGGCGGGGCCUUCGACGGACAAGGAGAAAUUGUUUGGGAGCGAGCGCACUGUGGCGACAGAUGCAAGACACCACUUCCAAUUGUAAGCAAAACCGAAUGCUACUUUACAAAACAACAGCCAUUCAUAGACCCGUUCAUGGCAGCAAUACUAAUAAUGUUUUCUUUGCGUAAUUGCUGUAUCAAAACUGUACCAGAACCUACGGUUUGACUUCGUCACCAACAGCAUAGUUGAGGACGUAACUUCCAUCGAUAGCAAGCAGUUCCACGUCAAUGUCCUCGGCAGCAAAAACCUCACCUUCCAGCGGUUUUCAGUGAAAGCCCCGGGACAUAGUCUCAACACCGAUGGAAUUCACAUUGGACGGUCAGAGGGGAUCAACAUAAUUAAUUCAAACAUUGUCACCGGUGAUGAUUGCAUCUCCAUUGGCCAGAGGAGCAAGCAAGUACGAAUCACAAAUGUAAGGUGCGGACACGGGCAUGGCAUUAGUGUUGGAAGCUUAGGAAAGUACGAGAAGGAAGAACCUAUGUCCGGAAUUUAUGUAAAGAAUUGCACAAUAUACGACACUGACAAUGGCGUGAGAAUUAAGACUUGGCCGCAUUGUAUGUUGGCAUUGCGUCGAAUAUCCAUUUCGAGGACAUCGUCAUGCAGAACGUCAGCAAUCCCAUCAUUAUAGAUCAAAUGUACUGCCCAUGGAACCUAUGCAAUCGGAAGGUAACUAUUUAAUUUUCAUUUUUUUUCAACCAAAAAGGGGAAUCUUUUUUAUUAUUAUUAUUUAUUCAUGGAGAUCAUAUAGUUGUGUGAUGUUGGCUAGAAGAAUACAUUUAUACUAAAAUAUUGUGCGUUUUUUCAGAAGCCAUCAAAAGUUCAAAUCAGCGACGUCAGCUUCAAGAAUAUUCAAGGAUCGUCAAGAACGCCCACGGCCGUUCAAAUUACGUGCAGCAGCAGCGUACCAUGCAAGGACAUUGUGCUUUCUAACGUUAACCUCAAGUACACCGGAUCUAAGGGAUCUGCAAAAUCUGUUUGUACAAAUGUUAAGCCUAGGAUUAUAGGAAAGUUGAUUCCGGGAGGAUGCUAAUGCACUCAUUUGUUGAUUCUUUAUAUAAAUGGAGAAAAUUUCUCGAUUGCACAUUGCAAUUCAUUCUUCAACUUUUCAAAUUUAAAUGAGCUAGAUCAAAUAUGAUUAAAACCAAUAACUAAAAUAUUUCAAAUUUAACUGAUAUUAACAGUACGUAAAUCAUUUUUUAAGACCUCAAUCAUAAAAAUUGCAAAAUGAAAUAAAAAAAGACAAUUUAUUAAAUGAACUUAUUAAUUUAAUUGUCAAAAUUCAAAUUAAAAUGCCAUAAUUCAAUUGUAUCAAAAUUUUACUUUAUCAAAGUUCAGAAUGAUUCAUUUCUUAAUUAAAAAACUAUAAUUCGAAAUUAAGAAAUCAAAACGAAAUUUAUUUCCUUGUAAUCCUAGCCCUACCAUCAUAAUUAAAAUAUUGCAAUUCAAAAAUUUUUUUCCUUUUUUAAUUAGCACAAUAUAAUUCGAAGAAAAUAUAUAUAUCAGUCUGCUCCAAAAUUUUGUCUUCGCUUUUUCGGCGUAAUUUAUUUCCUAAUGUAACUGUUUUAAGGAAUCAAGGAAAAAAAAAAUAUACCGCUGUAAGGAGACGAAAUGUGCUACAAAGCUCGUUGUGAAUUUCUUUUUUUUUUUUUUUUGCUGCGUUCCAUUUAAAAGCAAAUGAUUACAAUCGAAGCUGAAUAUAUUGUCGACGCUGAAAUAAAGUACGCAUAAAAUAUUACGGUGCAUCUUCACUCAAGAAAAGAGAGAAAAGAUGCGGUAAGUUUUUUUUUUCCUUCCUCUUUUCUUCUUUCUUUUUUUUUUCUUGUAGUUGUCAGAAAACAAUGCGUAUGCACGCGCGAGAAAAGGAAUUGCGGGUGCGGCAACACCGAUCCUUCCGCGUCCAACACGACUAGAAUUGCGGAAGUACGAAAAAGGUUGUUGCGCAAGUUAUAUAGGGUUCCAGUAUAAAACAAUAUGUUUGGAGAGAAGUGCGCAGGUUGUAGUUGUUAGUUGCAGGCUAGCGCACGCAGCCUUUUUUCGCCUAAAACAAUUAAAGCAACAAAAAGAAGGAAAAACAGAAAACGGAAUGCGUGAAAAUGCUACAGCCUGUAAUAAACCUUGAGUAAAUUAAACGAGCCACUGGACAUAUAAAAGGCCUUUCAAAGGAGGGGAAAUUCACAAACAUUUACUAAACAAUAUAAGCUAUAGAUAUCGAAAGAGAGGAAGCGCCUUUGAAAGAGAGACAUGGGUUCCAAGGCACAUGUAUGCACAGUAUACCUGUUGUUGCUUUUUGCUUUUACCAGCAAAGCUCUGCCCAAAACCUUUGAUGUGACGAAAUAUGGUGCCAAGGCAGGAUCGGAUAUCACUAAGGUAUGGAAGUAAAUUUGAUUCUCGAUAUCGCGACGGUAUUUCCUAGAUUGUUGCGGCCAGGCUUUUCAUUCCCGUUUUCGUUUUUAGGCUUUAUUGAGUGCGUGGAAAGAGGGAUGUGCAGCAGCGGGUUCCGGCAAAGUCGUGGUACCAAAAGGGAAGUACUUUUUAGGCGUGGUGGAUUUGAUAGGCCUUUGCAAGGGUGCUAUGCAUCUUCAAGUGGAAGGAACGUUGGUGGCCCCAGCAAAAGCUAGCCAACACAGCAAGAAUAGCUGGGUUACAUUGAGAUACCUGGACCGAUUAACGGUAUCCGGUGGCGGGGCCUUCGACGGACAAGGAGAAAUUGCUUGGGAGCGAUCGUACUGUGGCGACAGAUGCAAGACACCACUUCCAAUUGUAAGCAAAAUAGAAUGCUACUUUACAAAACAACAGCCAUUCAUAGACCCGUUCAUGGCAGCAAUACUAAUAAUGUUUUCUUUGCGUAAUUGCUGUAUCAAAACAGUACCAGAACCUACGGUUUGACUUCGUCACCAACAGCAUAGUUGAGGACGUAACUUCCAUCGAUAGCAAGCAGUUCCACGUCAAUGUCCUCGGCAGCAAAAGCCUCAGCUUCCAACGGUUUUCAGUGAAAGCCUCGGGACAUAGUCUCAACACCGAUGGAAUUCACAUUGGACGAUCGGAGGGGAUCAACAUAAUUAAUUCAAACAUUGUCACCGGUGAUGAUUGCAUCUCUAUUGGCUAGGGGAGCAAGCAAGUACGAAUCACAAAUGUAAGGUGCGGACACGGGCAUGGCAUUAGUGUUGGAAGCUUAGGAAAGUACGAGAAGGAAGAACCUGUGUCCGGAAUUUAUGUAAAGAAUUGCACAAUAUACGACACUGACAAUGGCGUGAGAAUUAAGACUUGGCCCGCAUUGUAUGGUGGCAUUGCGUCGAAUAUCUAUUUCGAGGACAUCGUCAUGCAAAACGUCAGCAAUCACAUCAUUAUAGAUCAAUUGUACUGCCCAUGGAACCUAUGCAAUCGGAAGGUAACUUUUUAAUUUUCAUUUUUUUUCAACCAAAAAGGGGAAUCUUUUUUAUUAUUAUUAUUUAUUCAUGGAGAUCAUAUAGUUGUGUGAUGUUGGCUAGAAGAAUACAUUUAUACUAAAAUAUUGUGCCUUUUUUCAGAAGCCAUCAAAAGUUCAAAUCAGCGACAUCAGCUUCAAGAAUAUUCAAGGAUCGUCAAGAACGCCCACGGCCGUUCAAAUUACGUGCAGCAGCAGCGUACCAUGCAAGGACAUUGUGCUUUCUAACGUUAACCUCAAGUACACCGGAUCUAAGGGAUCUGCAAAAUCUGUUUGUACAAAUGUUAAGCCUAGGAUUAUAGGAAAGUUGAUUCCGGGAGGAUGCUAAUGCACUCAUUUGUUGAUUCUUUAUAUAAAUGGAGAAAAUUUCUCGAUUGCACAUUGCAAUUCAUUCUUCAACUUUUCAAAUUUAAAUGAACUAGAUCAAAUAUGAUUAAAACCAAUAACUAAAAUAUUUCAAAUUUAACUGAUAUUAACAGUAUGUAAUUAAUUUUUUAAGAUCUCAAUCGUAAAAAUUGCAAAAUGAAAUAAAAAAAGAGAAUUUAUUAAAUGAACUUAUUAAUUUAAUUGUCAAAAUUCAAAUUAAAAUGUUAUAAUUCAAUUGUAUCAAAAUUUUACUUUAUCGAAGUUCAGAAUGAUUCAUUUCUUAAUUAAAAAACUAUAAUUCGAAAUUAAGAAAUCAAAACGAAAUUUAUUUCCCUGUAAUCCUAGCCCUACCAUCAUAAUUAAAAUAUUGCAAUUCAAAAAUUUUUUUCCUUUUUUAAUUAGCACAAUAUAAUUCGAAGAAAAUAUAUAUAUCAGUCUGCUCCAAAAUUUUGUCUUCGCUUUUUCGGCGUAAUUUAUUUCCUAAUGUAACUGUUUUAAGGAAUCAAGGAAAAAAAAAUAUACCGCUGUAAGGAGACGAAAUGUGCUACAAAGCUCGUUGUGAAUUUCUUUUUUUUUUCUUUUUGCUGCGUUCCAUUUAAAAGCAAAUGAUUACAACCGAAGGUGAAUAUAUAGUCGACGCUGAAAUAAAGUACGCAUAAAAUAUUACGGUUCGUCUUCACUCAAGAAAAGAGAGAAAAGAUGCGGUAAGUUUUUUUUUUCUUUCCUCUUUUCUUCUUUCUUUUUUUUUCUUGUACUUGUCAGAAAACAGUGCGUAUGCACGUGCGAGAAAAGGAAUUGCGGGUGCGGCAACACCGAUCCUUCCGCGUCCAACACGACUAGAAUUGCGGAAGUACGAAAAAGGUUGUUAGGCAAGUUAUAUAGGGUUCCAGUAUAAAACAAUAUGUUUGGAGAGAAGUACGCAGGUUGUAGUUGUUAGUUGCAGGCUAGCGCACGCAGCCUUUUUUCGCCUAAAACAAUUAAAGCAACAAAAAGAAGGAAAAACAGAAAACGGAAUGCGUGAAAAUGCUACAGCCUGUAAUAAAUCUUGAGUAAAUUAAACGAGCCACUUGACAUAUAAAAGGCCUUUCGGAGGAGGGGCAAUUCACAAACAUUUACUAAACAAUAUAAGCUAUAGAUAUCGAAAGAGAGGAAGCGCCUUUGAAAGAGAGACAUGGGUUCCAAGGCACAUGUAUGCACAGUAUACCUGUUGUUGCUGUUUGCUUUUACCAGCGAAGCUCUGCCCACUACCUUUGAUGUCACGAAAUAUGGUGCCAAGGCAAGAUCAGAUAUCACUAAGGUAUGGAAGUAAAUUCGAUUCUCGAUAUCGCGACGGUAUUUCCUAGAUUGUUGCGACCAGGUUUUUCAUUCCUGUUUUCGUUUUUAGGCUUUAUUGAGUGCGUGGAAAGAGGGAUGUGCAGCAGCGGGUUUCGGCAAAGUCGUGGUACCAAAAGGGAAGUACUUUUUAGGCGUGGUGGAUUUGAUAGGCCCUUGGAAUGGUGCCAUGCAUCUUCAAGUGGAAGGAACGUUGGUGACGCCAGCAAAAGCUAGCCAACAUAGCAAGAAUAGCUGGGUUACAUUGAGAUACCUGGACCGAUUAACGGUAUCCGGUGGCGGGGCCUUCGACGGACAAGGAGAAAUUGCUUGGGAGCGAGCGCACUGUGGCGACAGAUGCAAGACACCACUUCCAAUUGUAAGCAAAACCGAAUGCUACUUUACAAAACAACAG